rnacentral:rRNA from 1 species
CCUACGGGAGGCAGCAGUGAGGAAUAUUGGUCAAUGGGCGAGAGCCUGAACCAGCCAAGUCGCGUGAGGGAGUACUGCCCUAUGGGUUGUAAACUUCUUUUGUCGGGGAGCAAAAGCCGGACGUGUUCGGCUGUGAGAGUUCCCGAAGAAAAAGCAUCGGCCAACUCCGGGCCAGCAGCCGCGGGUAUACGGAGGGAGCGAGCGUUUUCCGGAUUUUAUGGGUUUUAAGGGUGCGCAGGGGGAUUUUUAAGUCAGCGGUAAAAACGUGGGGCUCAACCCCAUCCAGCCGUUGAAACUGGGGAUCUAGAGUGUGCGAGAGGUAUGCGGAAUGCGUGGUGUAGCGGUGAAAUGCAUAGAUAGCACGCAGAACCCCGAUUGCGAAGGCAGCAUACCGGUACACAACUGACGCUCAGGCACGAAAGCGUGGGUAUCGAACAGGAUUAGAUACCCGAGUAGUC